rnacentral:rRNA from 1 species
AGAGUUUGAUCAUGGCUCAGGAUGAACGCUGGCGGCGUGCUUAAUACAUGCAAGUCGAGCGAGAACCGGGAGCUUGCUCCCGGGGGCAGCGGCGAAUGGGUGCGUAACACGUAGGUGACCUGCCCUCAAGCGGGGGAUAACGGGCCGAAAGGACCGCUAAUACCGUAUGUGGUCGCCCGGUCGGACGGGUGACUAAACCCACGGGGCUUGAGGAGGGGCCUGCGGCCCAUCAGCUAGUUGGCAGGGUAACGGCCUACCAAGGCGACGACGGGUAGGGGGCCUGAGAGGGUGGUCCCCCACACUGGCACUGACACACGGGCCAGACUCCUACGGGAGGCAGCAGUAAGGAAUAUUGGGCAAUGGGCGAAAGCCUGACCCAGCAACGCCGCGUGAGCGAUGAAGGCCUUCGGGUCGUAAAGCUCUUUUCCCAGGGACGAGGAAGGACGGUACCUGGGGAAUAAGUCACGGCUAACUACGUGCCAGCAGCCGCGGUAAAACGUAGGUGGCAAGCGUUAUCCGGAUUCACUGGGCGUAAAGCGCACGCAGGCGGCUCGGUAGGUAGGGCAUGAAAUCUCCUGGCUUAACUGGGAGAGGUUGUCCUAUACCGCCGGGCUUGAGGAUGGGAGAGGGAAGUGGAACUGCCGGUGUAGUGGUGAAAUGCGUAGAGAUCGGCAAGAACACCAGUGGCGAAGGCGGCUUCCUGGCCCAUUCCUGACGCUCAGGUGCGAAAGCUAGGGGAGUGAACGGGAUUAGAAACCCCGGUAAUCCUAGCCGUAAACGAUGUGCACUAGGUGUCGGGGGUAUUGACCCCCUCGGUGCCGAAGCCAACGCGUUAAGUGCACCGCCUGGGGACUACGGCCGCAAGGUUAAAACUCAAAUGAAUUGACGG